GCCUCGGUGGUGAAACUGGUAGACACAUCGGACUUAAAAUCCGCUGCAUCUGUGAAAAGAGCGUGCCGGUUCGAAUCCGGCUCGAGGCACCA
rnacentral:tRNA from 1 species